GACGAACGCUGGCGGCGUGCUUAACACAUGCGAGUCGAACGGAAAGGCCCUGCUUUUGUGGGGUGCUCGAGUGGCGAACGGGUGAGUAACACGUGAGUAACCUGCCCUUGACUGUGGGAUAACUUCAGGAAACUGGGGCUAAUACCGGAUAGGAGCUCCUGCUGAAUGGUGGGGGUUGGAAAGUUUCGGCGGUUGGGGAUGGACUCGCGGCUUAUCAGCUUGUUGGUGGGGUAGUGGCUUACCAAGGCUUUGACGGGUAGCCGGCCUGAGAGGGUGACCGGCCACAUUGGGACUGAGAUACGGCCCAGACUCCUACGGGAGGCAGCAGUGGGGAAUAUUGCACAAUGGGCGGAAGCCUGAUGCAGCAACGCCGCGUGCGGGAUGACGGCCUUCGGGUUGUAAACCGCUUUCGCCUGUGACGAAGCGUGAGUGACGGUAAUGGGUAAAGAAGCACCGGCUAACUACGUG
rnacentral:rRNA from 1 species